rnacentral:rRNA from 1 species
UACGAAGGGGGCUAGCGUUGCUCGGAUUGACUGGGCGUAAAGGGCGCGUAGGCGGAUAGUACAGUCAGGCGUGAAAUUCCUGGGCUCAACCUGGGGGCUGCGUUUGAUACGUAUUGUCUGGAGUUCGGAAGAGGGUCGUGGAAUUCCCAGUGUAGAGGUGAAAUUCGUAGAUAUUGGGAAGAACACCGGUGGCGAAGGCGGCGACCUGGUCCGAUACUGACGCUGAGGAGCGAAAGCCAGGGGAGCAAACGGG